CAGCAGCCGCGGGAAUACGUAGGUGGCAAGCGUUGUCCGGAAUUAUUGGGCGUAAAGGGCUCGCAGGCGGUUUCUUAAGUCUGAUGUGAAAGCCCCCGGCUCAACCGGGGAGGGUCAUUGGAAACUGGGAAACUUGAGUACAGAAGAGGAGAGUGGAAUUCCACGUGUAGCGGUGAAAUGCGUAGAGAUGUGGAGGAACACCAGUGGCGAAGGCGACUCUCUGGUCUGUAACUGACGCUGAGGAGCGAAAGCGUGGGGAGCGAACAGGAUUAGAUACCCCUGUAGUCCCUGUCUCUUAUAA
rnacentral:rRNA from 1 species